rnacentral:pre_miRNA from 1 species
GAGCCAGCGGGUGCCCAGCGUUUGCUCAGUAGUCAGUGUAGAUCCUGUGGGGCUGGCAGCAGCUACAUCUGGCUACUGGGUCUCUGCUGACGACCAAUCCGGUCC